GUGCCGGCCUCCCGCGACGGCAAGCCGUGAACCCCGCCAGGCCCGGAAGGGAGCAACGGUAUCGGCGACGCUGGGUGCCGGGAAUCGCUGGUACGGG
rnacentral:SRP_RNA from 1 species